ACCUGGGAGGCUCAGUCAGUAAAGCAUCUGACUUCAGCUCAGGUCAUGAUCUCGCAGUUUUGUGGGUUCGAGCCCCACAUCAGGCU
rnacentral:tRNA from 1 species